rnacentral:rRNA from 1 species
CCUACGGGCCGCAGCAGUGGGGAAUACUGCACAAUGGGCGCAAGCCUGAUGCAGCCAUGCCGCGUGUAUGAAGAAGGCCUUAGGGUUGUAAAGUACUUUCAGUUGGGAGGAAGGCGUUGAUGCUAAUAUCAUCAACGAUUGACGUUACCAACAGAAGAAGCACCGGCUAACUCCGUGCCAGCAGCCGCGGUAAUACGGAGGGUGCAAGCGUUAAUCGGAAUUACUGGGCGUAAAGCGCACGCAGGCGGUUGAUUAGGUUAGAUGUGAAAUCCCCGGUCUUAACCUGGGAAUGGCAUCUAAGACUGGUCAGCUAGAGUCUUGUAGAGGGGGGGUAGAAUUCCAUGUGUAGCGGUGAAAUGCGUAGAGAUGUGGAGGAAUACCGGUGGCGAAGGCGGCCCCCUGGACAAAGACUGACGCUCAGGUGCGAAAGCGUGGGGAGCAAACAGGAUUAGAUACCCCCGUAGUC